UCGCGAAUAAUUCUCGCCUGUUUGAUCAGUCAAUGAUCGAAGCAGGGCUAGAAGUUCGCUAGAUAAAGACACCAGCGCGAGAACUCACAGAUCGGACUUGUUUUGCCUCUUCUGUUUUCACACCUGCUUUGCUGGUUACAUUG